rnacentral:rRNA from 1 species
ACUGCUCAGUAACACGUGGACAACCUGCCCUUAGGUUGGGUAUAAACCCGGGAAACUGGGUAUAAUACCCGAUAGGUCUCGAUUGCUGGAAUGCAUCGAGAUUUAAAGCUCCGGCGCCUAAGGAUGGGUCUGCGGCCUAUCAGGUAGUAGUGGGUGUAGCGUACCUACUAGCCUACGACGGGUACGGGUUGUGAGAGCAAGAGCCCGGAGAUGGAUUCUGAGACACGAAUCCAGGCCCUACGGGGUGCAGCAGGCGCGAAAACUUUACAAUGCUGGCAACAGCGAUAAGGGAACCUCGAGUGCCAGGUUACAAAUCUGGCUGUCGAGAUGCCUAAAAAGCAUUUCAUAGCAAGGGCCGGGCAAGACCGGUGCCAGCCGCCGCGGUGACACCGGCGGCUCGAGUGGUAACCGUUAUUAUUGGGUCUAAAGGGUCUGUAGCCGGCCGGAUAAGUCUCUUGAGAAAUCUGGCAGCUUAACUGUCAGGCUUUCAGGAGAUACUGUCUGGCUCGAGGCCGGGAGAGGUGAGAGGUACUUCAGGGGUAGGGGUGAAAUCUUGUAAUCCUUGAAGGACCACCAGUGGCGAAGGCGUCUCACCAGAACGGACCUGACGGCAAGGGACGAAAGCUAGGGGCACGAACCGGAUUAGAUACCCGGGUAGUCCUAGCCGUAAACGAUACUCGCUAGGUGUCGGCCACGGUGCGACCGUUGUCGGUGCCGUAGGGAAGCCGUGAAGCGAGCCACCUGGGAAGUACGGCCGCAAGGCUGAAACUUAAAGGAAUUGGCGGGGGAGCAC